UACGUAGGGUCCGAGCGUUGUCCGGAAUUACUGGGCGUAAAGAGCUCGUAGGUGGUUUGUCGCGUUGUUCGUGAAAACUCACAGCUCAACUGUGGGCGUGCGGGCGAUACGGGCAGACUAGAGUACUGCAGGGGGAGACUGGAAUUCCUGGUGUAGCGGUGGAAUGCGCAGAUAUCAGGAGGAACACCGGUGGCGAAGGCGGGUCUCUGGGCAGUAACUGACGCUGGAGACGC
rnacentral:rRNA from 1 species